AACGAACGCUGGCGGCAUGCCUAACACAUGCAAGUCGAACGAGACCUUCGGGUCUAGUGGCGCACGGGUGCGUGACGCGUGGGAACCUGCCCUUAGGUUCGGAAUAACUCCCCGAAAGGGGUGCUAAUACCGGAUAAUGUCUUCGGACCAAAGAUUUAUCGCCUUUGGAUGGGCCCGCGUUGGAUUAGCUAGUUGGUAGGGUAAAAGCCUACCAAGGCGACGAUCCAUAGCUGGUCUGAGAGGAUGAUCAGCCACACUGGGACUGAGACACGGCCCAGACUCCUACGGGAGGCAGCAGUGGGGAAUAUUGGACAAUGGGCGAAAGCCUGAUCCAGCAAUGCCGCGUGAGUGAUGAAGGCCCUAGGGUUGUAAAGCUCUUUUACCCGGGAUGAUAAUGACAGUACCGGGAGAAUAAGCUCCGGCUAACUCCGUG
rnacentral:rRNA from 1 species